rnacentral:rRNA from 1 species
UUUGUGGAGAGUUUGAUCCUGGCUCAGGACGAACGCUGGCGGCGUGCUUAACACAUGCAAGUCGAACGGAAAGGCCUG